rnacentral:rRNA from 1 species
AGCUCCAAUAGCGUAUAUUUAAGUUGUUGCAGUUAAAAAGCUCGUAGUUGGAUUUCGGGUGGGACGCAGCGGUCUCGCAUUGCGUUUGUACUGCUGCAGCCCUCCUUCUUGCCGGGGGCGGCCCGUCGGACUUCACUGUCUGAGGGUCAGAAUCGGCGAUGUUACUUUGAGUAAAUUAGAGUGUUCAAAGCAAGCUUACGCUCUGAAUAUAAUAGCAUGGGAUAACACGACAGGACUCUGGCCUAUCGUGUUGGUCUAUAGGACCAGAGUAAUGAUUAAGAGGGACAGUCGGGGGCAUUCGUAUUCCGUUGUCAGAGGUGAAAUUCUUGGAUUUACGGAAGACGAACAUCUGCGAAAGCAUUUGCCAAGGAUGUUU